UGCGCCUUGCCAGCCCGCUCAGAAACUUAAAGGAAGUUGACGGGGGCCCGCACAAGCGGUGGAGUAUGUGGUUUAAUUCGAUGCAACGCGAAGAACCUUACCUGGUCUUGACAUCCCGGAGACCCUUAGGAAACUAGGGGUGCUUCCAUCUGGAAGAAUCUGGAGACAGGUGCUGCAUGGCUGUCGUCAGCUCGUGUCGUGAGAUGUUGGGUUAAGUCCCGCAACGAGCGCAACCCUUGCCUUUAGUUGCCAGCAGUUCGGCUGGGCACUCUAAAGGGACUGCCGGUGUUAAACCGGAGGAAGGUGGGGAUGACGUCAAGUCCUCAUGGCCUUUAUGACCAGGGCUACACACGUACUACAAUGGCCGAUACAAAGGGCAGCGACACUGCGAGGUGAAGCCAAUCCCGUAAAAUCGGUCUCAGUCCGGAUUGGAGUCUGCAACUCGACUCCAUGAAGUUGGAAUCGCUAGUAAUCGUGAAUCAGAAUGUCACGGUGAAUACGUUCCCGGGCCUU
rnacentral:rRNA from 1 species